rnacentral:rRNA from 1 species
UUCCGGUUGAUCCCGCCGGACCCGACUGCUAUCAGAGUGGGAUUAAGCCAUGCGAGUUAACGUAGCAAUACGUGGCAUACGGCUCAGUAACACGUAGUCAACAUGCCCAGGGGACGUGGAUAACCUCGGGAAACUGAGGAUAAACCACGAUAGAUCAUAAUAUCUGGAAUGAUUUAUGGUCAAAAUCUAUAUGGCCUCUGGAUUGGACUGCGGCCGAUCAGGCUGUUGGUGAGGUAAUGGCCCACCAAACCUAAAACCGGUACGGGCUCUGAGAGGAGAAGCCCGGAGAUGGGCACUAAGACAAGGGCCCAGGCCCUAUGGGGCGCAGCAGGCGCGAAAUCUCUGCAAUAGGCGAAAGCCUGACAGGGUUACUCUGAGUGAUUUCCGUUAAGGAUAUCUUUUAACACCUUUACAAAUGGUGUGGAAUAAGGGGUGGGCAAGCCUGGUGUCAGCCGCCGCGGUAAUACCAGCACCCCGAGUGGUCGGGACGAUUAUAGCACCUAAAGCAUCCGUAGCCGGUCCUGCAAGUCUUCCGUUAAAUCCAUCUGCUUAACAGAUGGGCUGCGGAGGAUACUACAUGACUAGGAGGCGGGAGAGGCAAGCGGUACUUAAUGGGUAGGGGUAAAAUCCGUUGAUCCAUUGAAGAC